rnacentral:rRNA from 1 species
UACGUAGGGGGCAAGCGUUGUCCGGAUUUAUUGGGCGUAAAGAGCUCGUAGGCGGCUAUUCACGUCGGAUGUGAAAGCUCAAGGCUCAACCUUGAGAGGCCAUUCGAUACGGGAUAGCUAGAGGUAGGUAGGGGAGAUCGGAAUUCCUGGUGUAGCGGUGAAAUGCGUAGAUAUCUGGAGGAACACCGGUGGCGAAGGCGGCAUCCUGGACCGGCAUUGACGCUGAGGCGCGAAAGCCAGGGGAGCAAACGGG